rnacentral:rRNA from 1 species
UACGUAGGUGACAAGCGUUGUCCGGAUUUACUGGGCGUAAAGAGCGCGCAGGCGGUCGUUCAAGUCGAGUGUGAAAGCCCCCGGCUCAACUGGGGAGGGUCAUUCGAUACUGAUCGACUCGAAGGCAGGAGAGGGUAGUGGAAUUCCCGGUGUAGUGGUGAAAUGCGUAGAUAUCGGGAGGAACACCAGUGGCGAAGGCGGCGACCUGGGCCAACAUUGACGCUGAGGUGCGAAAGCGUGGGGAGCAAACAGG